ACACAUGCAAGUCGAACGAUGAAGUGGAGCUUGCUCCACGGAUUAGUGGCGAACGGGUGAGGAACACGUAAGAAUCUACCUUUCGGUUGGGGAUAACUUCUGGAAACGGGAGCUAAUACCCAAUAUGCUGUGGAGUGAAAGAAUUCCGCCGAAAGACGAUCUUGCGUCUGAUUAGCUAGUUGGGGUGGUAAUGGCACACCAAGGCGACGAUCAGUAGCUGGUCUGAGAGGAUGGACAGCCACAUUGGGACUGAGACACGGCCCAGACUCC
rnacentral:rRNA from 1 species